CUACGGGGUGCAGCAGUGAGGAAUAUUGCACAAUGGGGGAAACCCUGAUGCAGCAACGCCGCGUGGAGGAUGACGCAUUUCGGUGUGUAAACUCCUUUUAUAUGUCAAGAAAAUGACGGUAGCAUAUGAAUAAGCACCGGCUAACUCCGUGCCAGCAGCCGCGGUAAUACGGAGGGUGCAAGCGUUACUCGGAAUCACUGGGCGUAAAGGACGCGUAGGCUGGUUGGUAAGUCAGGUGUGAAAUCCUACAGCUUAACUGUAGAAUUGCACUUGAAACUACCAACCUAGAGUAUGGGAGGGGGAGAUGGAAUUAGUGGUGUAGGGGUAAAAUCCGUAGAUAUCACUAGGAAUACCGAAAGCGAAGGCGAUCUCCUGGAACAUAACUGACGCUAAGGCGUGAAAGCGUGGGGAGCAAACAGGAUUAGAUACCCCGGUAGUC
rnacentral:rRNA from 1 species